rnacentral:rRNA from 1 species
CCAGACUCCUACGGGAGGCAGCAGUAGGGAAUCUUCGGCAAUGGACGGAAGUCUGACCGAGCAACGCCGCGUGAGUGAAGAAGGUUUUCGGAUCGUAAAGCUCUGUUGUAAGAGAAGAACGAGUGUGAGAGUGGAAAGUUCACACUGUGACGGUAUCUUACCAGAAAGGGACGGCUAACUACGUGCCAGCAGCCGCGGUAAUACGUAGGUCCCGAGCGUUGUCCGGAUUUAUUGGGCGUAAAGCGAGCGCAGGCGGUUAGAUAAGUCUGAAGUUAAAGGCUGUGGCUUAACCAUAGUACGCUUUGGAAACUGUUUAACUUGAGUGCAAGAGGGGAGAGUGGAAUUCCAUGUGUAGCGGUGAAAUGCGUAGAUAUAUGGAGGAACACCGGUGGCGAAAGCGGCUUUCUGGCUUGUAACUGACGCUGAGGCUCGAAAGCGUGGGGAGCAAGCAGGAUUAGAUACCCU